UAAUCUAUUCCUCCUCUGUAGGUUGCUGUGAUACAAUAGGGAGCCAGAGACUAAAUCCCAGCUUAGGAAACAGGGUUGUUCUUCACAUGGAUGACUCUGUGCUGAAGACAUGAAACAGCC
rnacentral:snoRNA from 1 species